AAUUAAUAAAACGGUAAAAUAUAUUUUGAUUAUUUUGGAUAUUGAUUUUUCUACAUGUAAAAGGGAAAUGUUAUUGUGUUUUUUCACUAAGUAUUGACGCUUAACUAAAUAUUUUAGGUUAAGUAUAGGGAGAACAAGUGAUUUUAGCUUCCCGCUUAGUUAAAUUUUAUCUUAUCGUUUUUUCAAUGCUAUUAUAUAAUAACUAAAAUAAAAAUCAAUUUUUCACAACAGUAACGGAAAGUGAGCUAUCCUCUUGUACUAUCAAUGUGGAUAUUUGUUCUAGUGACAUAUAUAUUCACAUGUUAUUGAUUGGUAACUAUUUAGUAAAAGCCUAUAUUACAUUUUACUAUUUGUUACUUGAUAAGUAUAUAUCUUGUUCUUCUAUCUUCAUGCAGUGCACAUAUAAUUUAGUUUGUAAGAUAUAUGAAUCGUGUUAGCCGUUUCUUACCUGCAAGAGCUU
rnacentral:sRNA from 1 species